rnacentral:rRNA from 1 species
CCUACGGGAGGCAGCAGUGGGGAAUAUUGGACAAUGGGGGAAUCCCUGAUCCAGCGACGCCGCGUGAGUGAAGAAGUAUUUCGGUAUGUAAAGCUCUAUCAGCAGGGAAGAAAAUGACGGUACCUGACUAAGAAGCCCCGGCUAACUACGUGCCAGCAGCCGCGGUAAUACGUAGGGGGCAAGCGUUAUCCGGAUUUACUGGGUGUAAAGGGAGCGCAGACGGCUGUGCAAGUCUGGAGUGAAAGGCGGGGGGCCAACCCCCGGACUGCUCUGGAAACUGUAAAGCUGGAGUGCAGGAGAGGUAAGCGGAAUUCCUAGUGGAGCGGUGAAAUGCGUAGAUAUUAGGAGGAACACCAGUGGCGAAGGCGGCUUACUGGACUGCAACUGACGUUGAGGCUCGAAAGCGUGGGGAGCAAACAGGAUUAGAUACCCCGGUAGUC